rnacentral:rRNA from 1 species
GAUGAACGCUGGCGGCGUGCCUAAUACAUGCAAGUCGAGCGAACAGACGAGGAGCUUGCUCCUCUGACGUUAGCGGCGGACGGGUGAGUAACACGUGGAUAACCUACCUAUAAGACUGGGAUAACUUCGGGAAACCGGAGCUAAUACCGGAUAAUAUAUUGAACCGCAUGGUUCAAUAGUGAAAGACGGUUUUGCUGUCACUUAUAGAUGGAUCCGCGCCGCAUUAGCUAGUUGGUAAGGUAACGGCUUACCAAGGCAACGAUGCGUAGCCGACCUGAGAGGGUGAACGGCCACACCGGAACUGAGACACGGUCCAGACUCCUACGGGAGGCAGCAGUAGGGAAUCUUCCGCAAUGGGCGAAAGCCUGACGGAGCAACGCCGCGUGAGUGAUGAAGGUCUUCGGAUCGUAAAACUCUGUUAUUAGGGAAGAACAAAUGUGUAAGUAACUAUGCACGUCUUGACGGUACCUAAUCAGAAAGCCACGGCUAACUACGUG